rnacentral:rRNA from 1 species
UACGUAGGGGGCAAGCGUUGUCCGGAAUCAUUGGGCGUAAAGAGCGUGUAGGCGGCUCGAUAAGUCUGCUGUGAAAGUCCAGGGCUCAACCCUGGAAGGCCGGUGGAAACUGUCGGGCUAGAGUCCGGAAGAGGCGAGUGGAAUUCCCAGUGUAGCGGUGAAAUGCGCAGAUAUCAGGAAGAACACCAAUGGCGAAGGCAGCUCUCUGGGACGGUACUGACGCUGAGACGCGAAAGCGUGGGGAGCGAACAGG